GCUAGAUGGCGGAAAUCAAUCACGCAAUUUCACGAAAAGUAGGAACUAGGUCCGUAUGCAAAUUUGUUUAGAACUUGAAUUUAUGGCGUGCGUUCCACCAAUCCACACUUGGUGUUCGGUUUCGUUCGCAGAAGGAGCAUUAUUAGCUAUAGCCAACGUCGGAUUAAAAGUAAAAAACGCGAAUGUUUUUGUG